AUUGAACGCUGGCGGCAGGCUUAACACAUGCAAGUCGAGCGGAGAGAGGUAGCUUGCUCCUGAUCUUAGCGGCGGACGGGUGAGUAAUGCUUAGGAAUCUGCCUAUUAGUGGGGGACAACAUUUCGAAAGGAAUGCUAAUACCGCAUACGUCCUACGGGAGAAAGCAGGGGAUCUUCGGACCUUGCGCUAAUAGCUGAGCCUAAGUCGGAUUAGCUAGUUGGUGGGGUAAAGGCCUACCAAGGCGACGAUCUGUAGCGGGUCUGAGAGGAUGAUCCGCCACACUGGGACCGAGACACGGCCCAGACUCCUACGGGAAGGAGCAGUGGGGAAUAUUGGACAAUGGGCGCAAGCCUGAACCAGCCAUGCCGCGUGUGUGAAGAAGGCCUUACGGUUGUAAAGCACUUUAAGCGAGGAGGAGGCUACUUUAGUUAAUACCUAGAGAUAGUGGACGUUACUCGCAGAAUAAGCACCGGCUAACUCUGUG
rnacentral:rRNA from 1 species